GCGCGCAUAGCUCAGUCCGGUAGAGCAGGUGGCUCUUAACCACUUGGUCGAGGGUUCAAAUCCCCCUGCGCGCA
rnacentral:tRNA from 1 species